rnacentral:rRNA from 1 species
GAUGAACGCUGGCGGCGUGCCUAAUACAUGCAAGUCGAGCGAACAGACGAGGAGCUUGCUCCUCUGACGUUAGCGGCGGACGGGUGAGUAACACGUGGAUAACCUACCUAUAAGACUGGGAUAACUUCGGGAAACCGGAGCUAAUACCGGAUAAUAUAUUGAACCGCAUGGUUCAAUAGUGAAAUACGGUUUUUCUGUCACUUAUAGAUGGAUCCGCGCCGCAUUAGCUAGUUGGUAAGGUAACGGCUUACCAAGGCAACGAUGCGUAGCCGACCUGAGAGGGUGAUCGGCCACACUAGAACUGAGACACGGUCAAGACUCCUACGGGAGGCAGCAGUAGGGAAUCUUACGCAAUGGGCGAAAGCCUGACGGAGCAACGCCGCGUGAGUGAUGAAGGUCUUCGGAUCGUAAAACUCUGUUAUUAGGGAAGAACAAAUGUGUAAGUAAAUAUGCACGUAUUGACGGUACCUAAUCAGAAAGCCACGGCUAACUACGUG